rnacentral:lncRNA from 1 species
UGUGUGAAGUGUGAACAAGAUUUGUUUGUUUUUUUUUUUUGAGAUAGGUACGCUACCCGCUUCGUUUAUUUCAUUUGAAAAUAAACUUAGCUGAAAAUAUGAAUCAAUUAGGAUUCGAAUUUGGGUCUCAGAUAUCAAUCACUAUGUCUUUUGCUACUUGUUUUAGAAACGGUCGGUAUAAAAAUAUGAUAUGGUUGAGGGUCCUGUCAAGAG